rnacentral:rRNA from 1 species
CCUACGGGAGGCAGCAGUGGGGCAUAUUGCACAAUGGGGGGAACCCUGCUGCAGCGACGCCGCGUGGGUGCAGGAGUAUUUCUGUAUGUAAAGCCCUAUCAGCAGUGAAGAACAAUGACGGUACCUGACUACGACUCACCGGCUACAUACGUGCCAGCAGCCUCGGUCAUACGUAUGGUGCAAGCGUUAUCCGGAUGUACUGGGGGUAAAGGGAGCGCAGGCGGCGCGUUAAGCCUGGUGUGAAAGGCCGCGGCCCAACCGCGGUCCUGCAUUGGGAAUUGGCGCGCUGGAGUGCCGGAGGGGUAGGCGGAAUUCCGAGUGUAGCGGUGAAAUGCGUAGAUAUUAGGAGGAAGACCAGUGGCGAAGGCGGCCUACUGGACGGUGACUGACGCUGAGGAUCGAAAGCGUGGGGAGCAAACAGGAUUAGAUACACCUC